rnacentral:rRNA from 1 species
CCGCGCCGUCGCGGAUGAGCGUGAGCUCGGAGCUGUAGCUCAGGUCCUCGUUGCGGCAGUCAUCGACGUAGACGAUCGCCGGGUCGUCGUCCUGGCACACGGGCCAGGACACAUAGGUGAGGACCGUGGCGUUGUCGGGCGCGAGCACCAUCCGAUCGGGCGCGGCGCCGGCGAGGUCGACCGUGGUCCACGCACCGUCGGGCGUGAUGCGGAUGAGGUCGCCCGCGGCGGGGAGGCGCACGUAGACGCC